GACUCGAGCGAAGCGAGAGAACGUUGCCGCAGGCAACGGCCCGAAGGGCGAGGCGCUUUAGCGCCGAGUAAUCCUUCCCCCACCACCA
rnacentral:sRNA from 1 species